CAGUAGCCACGGUAACACGGAGGGUGCAAGCGUUAAUCGGAAUUACUGGGCGUAAAGCGCACGCAGGCGGUCUGACAAGUCAGAUGUGAAAUCCCCGGGCUUAACCUGGGAACUGCAUUUGAAACUGUCAGGCUGGAGUCUUGUAGAGGGGGGUGGAAUUCCAGGUGUAGCGGUGAAAUGCGUAGAGAUCUGGAGGAAUACCGGUGGCGAAGGCGGCCCCCUGGACAAAGACUGACGCUCAGGUGCGAAAGCGUGGGGAGCAAACAGGAUUAGAGACCCCAGUAGUCCCUGUCUCUUAUAC
rnacentral:rRNA from 1 species